rnacentral:lncRNA from 1 species
CCAUGCUUCCUCGACAGCCAAUGCGCAUGCGUCGUGCGUGGCCCUUUUUCAGUUCCGAACGGACACUUGCGCUGUUCAGUCUUCGUAUCUGUUACCGCCGAGGAAGGAACCAAAGUUCACUUGUUCCCGCUGAACAGCUGUAACGCACACGCAAAGCCCAGGACAAGCCGCACAAGAACCGAGGAAGCCUCUUACAAUCAUGGUGGACAACGGGAGGAGCGCUGACAGAAGCACGGAAGGCCAAGCAAACCGGAACUAUGUGUGUGACGUGUGCUACCAAACUUACACGCAUUCAUCAAGCCUGGCAAGACAUCGACGCGCACACUCGGGUGAAAUUCUCCAUAAAUGCCCGGAUUGCCGCAUGACUUUCACCCGGAAAUCCAGCCUGGACCAGCAUAUGAGGUCACAGCAUUGUCAAUGUCGCAUCUGCGGGGCUACGUUUCCUAAUACUUACGCACUGAACACGCAUAUGGUCGCGCACACAUUGGGAUUAGUGGAAUAGAUACGAUGAUUUAAACGAUUUGCCGAGCAGUCCGCUAGUAAACAGUUUACGCAGCGCGUAUGGGGACGCGACCGAGGAACACAAAGUUUUGUGUACCUUCGAAUUUCUGCACAAGCAUGAAGACAAUAGCUGGAUCAUAAACUACCAUUGGCGAAAUAAUGAGCGAGCGCGUUAUGCGUUGUUCAGCCCUGCUAAACAUCCGGAUCAAAUAAUGAAGCGACGAUCUCCGAUUGUUGAGAAUUGCUAGACUAUGUGACAUACUAUGGUGCUGUUUCUACGAGACUUGCUUUGCUUAUGUAUACUAUAGACGGCAA